AUAUGAUUAAGACCUUGAAGUUUGAAACUUUGCUUUGUUGUUUAGGUGUAUGGACAGCGAGGAGCACAUGUUUUGAACAACUGGGGCAGAUCCAAAGAGAAUAAAGAUGUUGUGGGUAUAUUCAUAGAUUGAUUGAUUAAUCAUGGGUUAUAUAAACGCACACUAGUUCAUUGGAAGAAGUAAUGUCUUUCAGGAGACCAGUCUGAGGCUUUUCUCAGUCUGGGUGUCUGUCCAUUAAUGGGCUUUUCCACUCGUGUUGGAAAGUAUGAGCUGGGGCGUCUUCUGGGAGAAGGAACGUUUGCCAAGGUCAAGUUGGCCAGAAAUAUUGAAACAGGCAAAAAUUUUGCAGUUAAGAUCAUUGAUAAGGAUACAGUCCGCAAGAACAAGCUUAUGUAUCAAGUAAAACGAGAAAUUAGUACAAUGAAACUACUGAAGCAUCCCAAUAUUGUGCACCUUUAUGAGGUUGUAGCCAGCAAAAAGAAGAUUUACCUUGUUAUGGAAUAUGUGAGCGGGGGUGAGCUAACUGACAGAAUUUCUUAUCUUGGGAAAAUCACUGAAGAAGAAUCCAGGAAAUAUUUUCAUCAGCUUAUGGACGCCAUAGAAUAUUGUCACGCUAGAAAUGUGUACCACAGAGAUCUUAAGCCUGAAAACCUGCUUUUGGAUGGUAAAGGCACUCUCAAGGUCUCUGAUUUCGGACUGAGUGUUCUCCACCAGAAGGAUGCUAUACUUUCUACAACUUGUGGAUCUCCAAAUUAUGUUGCACCUGAGAUAAUUGUUCAUGAGAAUUAUGAUGGAGCAGCUGCAGAUAUUUGGUCUUGUGGGGUCAUUCUUUUCGAAAUGCUAGCAGGCUUCUCUCCUUUUGACGAUGCUAAUAUAAUUAAUCUAUAUCAGAAGAUUUGCCAUGCAGAGUAUUCUUUUCCUUCAUGGUUCUCUUUUGGAUCCCGGAGAUUAAUUGCCAAGAUAUUGGAUCCUAGACCACGGAGUAGGAUAUCUAUAGAAAAGAUUUAUGAAGAUCAAUGGUUCAAGAAAGAUUACAGCAAUCCUGUGAAGCUUCAGGAUGAUGAGGACAUUACCUUGGAUGAUACGCAUCCUGACUCUGGCAACGUAGAAAUUAUUUUGGAUACACAGGAUCGUUUGGUGACACAGGGCAAGUGUCCUGUUUUUGUCAACGCAUUUCAGCUGAUAUCAAUGUCCAAUGAUCUUGACUUAUCCGGUUUCUUUGAGAACGAGGAUACUAGUAAGCACAAAAAGAGGUUUGGUUCCAGACAUUCGGCCAAUGACACAAUAGAGCAAAUGGAGGAUGCAGUAAAGACUCUAGGUUUGAGAGUAGAACGAAUAAAUCCUCGCAAGACAAAAAUUUAUGGAGCAAAGCAGUUAGGGAGAAGCGGAUCAUAUUUAUCAGUAACAGCACAGAUUACUGACGUUACACCAUCAUUCUCUGUGGUAGAGAUAUGGAAAUCUGGAGGGGAUACAGUAGAAUAUAUAGAGCUUUAUAAAAGCGUGUCAAGCAUUUUAACAGAUGCACCAGAGAACCAAAAGGUAAAUGAAAAGGAAAGCAUACAAAUGUCCAGACUUUUUCAUUGUGCCACAGGCCUUAGUGCUCAAAUUGCACUGCUGGAAUGCCAAAGUCCAGUUUCUGCAAAGUAGAGCUGAAUCAAUGCAACAAAUUUUCCAAAGUUAUCAGAAACCAAGUAUUCAUGUCAUGCAAGUAAUGCAGUAAUAUCAGUUUGAAUGUUUAUACUGCAGAUUGUGCAGUUCUCAAGAAAUUUGCAGUACAAAAGCCUGAUAUUACAGGGUUGAAGCCAAAUGAGUUAAUGAAUUCGAAACUCACCAUUUUUGUGUUCAUAGAUGACCUGAUUAGCAUAAUUGCGGUGCUAAUAAGGGAGCAAAUUCCCUGCAAUUCCAGGGUUUAUGAACAGUAAUGAUAAUAAAAAAGAUUCUACAAAGCACAAUUCUUGAUC